rnacentral:rRNA from 1 species
AUUGAACGCUGGCGGCAUGCCUUACACAUGCAAGUCGAACGGCAGCACGGGUGCUUGCACCUGGUGGCGAGUGGCGAACGGGUGAGUAAUACAUCGGAACGUACCUUAUCGUGGGGGAUAACGCAGCGAAAGUUGCGCUAAUACCGCAUACGCCCUGAGGGGGAAAGCGGGGGACCGUAAGGCCUCGCGCGAUUAGAGCGGCCGAUGUCUGAUUAGCUUGUUGGUGAGGUAAAAGCUCACCAAGGCGAUGAUCAGUAGCUGGUCUGAGAGGACGAUCAGCCACACUGUGACUGAGACACGGCCCAGACUCCUACGGGAGGCAGCAGUGGGGAAUUUUGGACAAUGGGGGCAACCCUGAUCCAGCAAUGCCGCGUGAGUGAAGAAGGCCUUCGGGUUGUAAAGCACUUUUGUUGGGGAGAAUGGUAAGCUAGGUUAAGAGCUAGGUUUAUUGAUGUUACCCAAAGAAUAAGCACCGGCUAACUCCGUGCCAGCCGCCGCCGUAA